GGAAAUCUGAUAGGUGUCUGAUAGACAUGGAGUGUUGUUUGUUAAUAGAAGCAAAGUUAAUGGGUUAACAAUCGUUUUUGUGUAGAGUGCAGCAAAGGAACUUCCCUUCCAGAAGCCAAAUAACAGAACUGAAAAUACUUUGUGAUUUCACUAAGUGGAGCAGAAUCACAGUGAUGAAAAUGUAUUCCAAGGUUUUCAUUUUUCUUACCGGAGCUGUGUACAUCUACUACCAGGU